UUUCCAAGUUUUCUAACUUUCAACCAACUCAUUAACAACAUAAUUCCGAGCAAUGAACCCGUCCUCCCACCUCUUCUUCUCCUUCUCCGGAGACCCAUAAAUCCAUACCUUCCCCUCCCACAUUUCCACUGCCACUGUUCCAGACCUCCAUCUAGAAUCACUCUGCUCUGAUUUCCACACAGAGAAAAUGAAUAACUUUGCAGUUAAGGUAGAGGAAGGGAGGGAAGGAAAAGAUGGGAAGCUUUCUGUUGGUCCUGUCUACCGUAAUCUACUCUCCAAAAAUGCUUACCCGCCUCCUGAUCCCGAUAUGUCUACAACAUGGAAUCUUUUCAGGUAAUUGAGGAGAUAUAUAUAUAUAUGUAUAUAAAGACAGAAACUUUAUAUGUGCAGAAAUAUAGAAGCAAAGAUUCAAACUGUAACACCCCGUUUUUUUUUUCUUAACGGUGUACGAUAAAGCACCCAUACAACACAAUACCGAAAUCCAUAUUAUUCCAACCAUGCACAAGAGAUAUCCACCUUCCAUGUUCCAAAUCAAUUGUACAUACAUCUCCACCUCUACAACACAUAGUAAUACAAUAUCAAACAUUCCUAGA